AAACAUCAGUGCCAGUGGGUUCUUCUUCAGAGACCAUCCAUUUGACGUUCUGCCCCAAGUCCCGAUGACCUUCUUAUGUGCGGAUGUCAAAAGACAUGCCUUCUUUGUACCAUUCGCGAUCUGAAGAGACCAAACAGUGCCUGACAAAAGAACGCAGCCAAACCUACUAACCAGCGGGAUCCGAAUGAUGUGUGGAUUUCCAAAAGGAAGAAGAAGGCCAUUCACAAGACCACGACCACUGAUGGCAAGAUCACGACCUUGAAAAUGAGCUGCAAGAUAUUCUGGCAACACUUAUCAACCAACUGGUAAGUCCCUUUACAUUCUCACAUUAGUCCAAUGGUUGCCUAUGUUUCCGGCAAAAUAUCGCCAUACUUGAAUUGGAAGACAGUAAAACAUUUGAACCAAACUAGUGCCUCUAUACCAUGCCUCAAU